rnacentral:sRNA from 1 species
AGUUUAUGCUCGCCAGGUAAUUCCUGGUCUCGUUUGGGGGCCCCCUCCUUCCCCCAGAAGGGAAAAGGGGGCUCUUCGUGGAGCGAAGGUCUUCUCUUACAUUUCUUUUGAGGAUUAUUGUGCUUUGAACAUGGAUGAUUCUUGGUCAAUAUUCAGCCGAGCCCUUAAUCAUCAGAAGCCAAAAGACCCUCCAUCUCUCCCAAGAGGACCCCUUUGACUCACACCGUUCCGUCGCUGGUUCAUUGAACCCACACCUGUUUCUGGUUCACCACCCGCCACCGAGGUCUCUGACAGCGAGGACCAAAGCGGGGUGUGCUUGUCACACCUUCUUGUUUCAUCCUUACCAAGGACCCCAGAGCUGAGGGAGGCGAGGCAUCCUGGGUCCCGCAGCCCCCAUGCGCUGCUGAAGGGCCUGCUGGGGAGUGGGUGGGCAGCACCAAGGGCCCGCUUUGAAAAAGGCUGUACCGGCUUACCAAAUCCGGGGACCAUUUUCAUGGCAAAAGUGUCCUUCACUCUGUUAAAAGAAUGCAUGGUGACACAGAUUUCCUUCAGAGCCAGGUCUGAAUGUCUUCCCCUUGGACUGAAGUCCCUGCUGUUAGAGCGGGGGAGCCGGCGGCGAUGGCGGCGUCCUCGUGCUGCGCUCGUGCCGGCGUCAGGGUCCCCCUGCCAUCUGGAGUGAGCAGGAGGCGGCCAGGCCAGGCCUUACCAGCUGAGGUUUGGGAGUUCCGUGCCUUUGGUGCUGAGGGUGAGCGUGUUCAUGGUGACUUCGUCCCUUGGUCAUGAGGAGGUUCGAGCUAGGAACCCCCUGCAAGUGGUCAACGCAUCCGGCUUGCUGUUCUAAGUGGAGGCGGCAGGCACAGCUGGGACCCACGCCCCUCAGAAGCAGGCUCUGUGGUGGUCGGAGCAGGCACCUCACCAGGCCACGCUCCAUUUGGGGCUGCUGAGAAGCUGGCUGUGGCCAGUCCUGAGGUCUCUGCAGCCCUCGGGAGCUUGGAGGCCUGGCUGGUUUUUCUAAAGAGUUGGCCGGGUGGCCAUGGCUGCCCACAGUGGGGUGUGACCUUGGGCUUGUGGCCUCCUCAGUGAGGGCCUCCUGGCAGGGGCUGAGAGUCCAGCGUCAGUGGGGGGGGGCUUCAGCAUAGACCACCACAUGUGUGUCUCUGGGUGCUUGGUAAAUGUACCCUGCGCUUCGGUGACAAGUUUUUUUGUCUAGUCAAGUGAAGCAGUGGAAAUGCAAGGAGCAUCUUAAAUCUGUUUUAUUUCUAACUGAUUUCAGUUCCACCUUUACCCUUAGGCCGACCAAGCAUCUGAGGUGCCAGGACAGCACCACCUUGCCAUGAGGCUUCAGGCCUGCUGUGACCCCUUGGGGAAAGUGAGCCCCAUGGCCACCUGCCCAGUUCCCAGGUCUUGUGCUGUCAGAAUUCCUGGUGGGCCCUGAGCCCAGUCACCUUCCUGUUUCUGUCCACCUUUGUACAUUCUGUGUGCAUAGAACACUCUUUGCCAACAAAGUCCAGCCUUGUGAGCCCUGGCUUGUGAGUCUUACAGCUUCUCUGCGCCUGGGUCCUCCAGCUGAGGAAGCAUCUUCAGGGUGUCCCCAGGCCUGGCGCCCGCCCCCGUGACACACACCGGCCUGUGUGUGCUUCAGCUGCUUCCAGGGCUUCCCUCACAGGCGGGGGUCAGGGCACGCACGCCAGGACUCCAAGUAAACCAGAAUAAUAAGCUUUAUGUCUCAGAUACCUGGGCUUUUGCCGGCUGGCGCGCAGCCCCAGAAUCAGCAGCUCCCCAUGCUCACCUCGUUUGUGAAGUGGGUGCUAGCACAGCCUUCCCUGGUUUAGGGGUUUAGGUUGGCUCUUGCUGUGGAUUUCCUAGUCACUUCGUGGCGUUGCUCUUUGGUUGUAGUAACAGGACCAGGGCUAAAAAGGCGUUGUUAAGGUGAACUGCUGUUGGGUCCAGUGUGGAGGGACCUGAAGUGCCAGGAUGCACGCUCUGCUGCGAGACAGUCAAACCCCAAGCCCACCUCAGGCCCCAUGGGUACGCCGGGUGCAUCUCCCGCAGGCCUUGGAGCAGCCUGCACCCCACCGCAUUGGCUCUGGAGCCUGGGCACAGGCGGCCAGUCCACCGUCCUGCGUCACAACCCUGCCUGCCUCAGGCUGCUUGGGUGCGUGGGGAGGUGGCAGGGCCCUGCUUUCUCAGCAGCCCGUGGUCGUGCCCCAGCGACGUGGUGAGUGACCAGGCUGGGUUUUAACGCUUUGUCGUGUCUUUCCUAGUGUCGGAGAUGUAUGCAGUGUGACGCCAAGUUUGACUUUCUCACCAGAAAGGUGAGCUGAGGCCGCUGAGUGGGGGUGGUGGGAAGAGGGGAGGGGCCCCAACAGGACAGCUGCGGCUGCCCCUUCUGGCAGGGGACGGAUGUCAUCUUAUGGCUUGUUGUUUUGUUUUUUGUUUUUUGUUUUUUUUGAGACGGAGUUUCGCUCUUGUCGCCCAGGCUGGAGUGCAGUGGCUCCAUCUCGGCUCACUGCAACCUCUGCCUCUCAGGUUCAAGUGAUUCUCCUGCCUCAGCCUCCUGAGUAGCUGGGAUUACAGGGGCUUGCCACCACGCCUGGCUAAUAUUUAUAUUUUUAGUAGAGAUGGGGUUUCACCAUGUUGGCCAGGCUGGUCUCGAACUCCUGACCUCAAAUGAUCCUCCCAUCUCGGCCUCCCAAAGUGCUGGGAUUACAAGUGUGAGCCACCACACCCAGCCAUUAUGGCUCGUUUUGAGUGUCAGCCAUGCCCUGUUUCCGUGGAAAGUGACUGUGCUGAUUCUGCUGGACGCUAUGGGGUGGGGGUGCAGCUUGCGAGGCCUGUGCACCCACCUGCCCCCCGCCUCCCCCUCCCCCCUGCCCCCUCCGCCCCGUCCCCGUGCCGCUUUGCCCCCGCGAAGUGUCUUGCCCCUAAUGUGUGCCCAGCUCAUGGCGCCCCGAGGCCCGAGGGCGUCCUAAGCAGUGGGACUUGGGUAGUUGAAAGAAAGCUGAAAAACAGCCAUUUUGAUCCAUGAUUUUGAAAAAAGGGCCUCAUUUCCCAGGUGAGGCGGAUCCCCGCUGCGUGGUGGGGAGCCCAGGGGCUGGCGUCAGGAGGUGCGCGUGUGCAGCGGCCGGCACAGGGGCCUCGCGUUUAGGCGUGGCCCGGGGAGUGCCAGGCCAGCCGGGGCCACACCCGGGGCCGCUUGUUCCCUGCCCCUCCUCACUGCCAAUCCUCCCGCAUCUGCCCAGCACCACUGUCGCCGCUGCGGGAAGUGCUUCUGCGACAGGUGCUGCAGCCAGAAGGUGCCGCUGCGGCGCAUGUGCUUUGUGGACCCCGUGCGGCAGUGCGCGGAGUGCGCCCUGGUGUCCCACAAGGAGGCGGAGUUCUACGACAAGCAGCUCAAAGUGCUCCUGAGCGGAGCCACCUUCCUCGUCACAUUUGGAAACUCAGAGAAACCUGAAACUAUGACUUGUCGUCUUUCCAAUAACCAGAGAUACUUGUUUCUGGAUGGAGACAGCCACUAUGAAAUCGAAAUUGUACACAUUUCCACCGUGCAGAUCCUCACAGAAGGCUUCCCUCCUGGAGAAAAAGACAUUCACGCUUACACCAGCCUCCGGGGGAGCCAGCCUGCCUCUGAAGGAGGCAACGCACGGGCCACAGGUAUGUUCCUGCAGUAUACAGUGCCGGGGACGGAGGGUGUGACCCAGCUGAAGCUGACAGCGGCGGAGGACGUGACUGUGGGCAGGAGGCAGGCGGUGGCGUGGCUAGUGGCCAUGCACAAGGCUGCCAAGCUCCUCUACGAAUCUCGGGACCAGUAACUCUACGUGGGGCUGAGCUUGGAGUACGUGUGGUCACCUGGACUGAGUCGCUUGGAACAGCAGAGCCUGCUCCUUGUGUACCACAGGGAUGAAUCCUGCUUGUGCUGGGAAAUGCAACUCAUGUAUUUGGAGAAACAGAAGUGUUCACUUAUCUAGUGCAAUAUGUUCACAGUUUAUUAAUGCUUUAAACAGCUUCAUGUUUUAGAAUUUGUGUACUGUCAAUACUUAAUUGGGGGUGGGAGAGACUGAGCUACACUACUGCUGAACUAUUUUUAGCAUAAUAUAUACCAUUUUUAUGAGUUCACAGGUCUACUAGAAGGUUCUGGCCCAUCAGUAUUCAUUUCAUUUAAUUCUUCCACAGAACCAGUUUGGGUAGUAGGAACUCAGGCUUCUGGUCUGCAGUGGAGCCUGUUCGCCUCUAAUAGCCAGUUUACAGCACUUGCCUUAGCCUGUUUCACAGACUGUCCACUUACCUUGUCACUAAUUUGGGGCUUCUGGGCUGUGAGUGAUCCUUUGAUACUUCACCAAGGGGAACGUGGGGGCUUUGUGUUUUGUACUUUUCACUCACUAUUUCACUUUAUUAAGAUGACUGUACAGCAAUUUGUAUAUAAAGCUUAUGAUUAAAACCUAUUUUGAACAUA